CCUACGGGCGGCUGCAGUGGGGAAUAUUGGGCAAUGGGCGAAAGCCUGACCCAGCAACGCCGCGUGCACGAUGAAGGCCUUCGGGUCGUAAAGUGCUUUUUGGGAGGAUGAGGAAGGACAGUACUCCCAGAAUAAGUCACGGCUAACUACGUGCCAGCAGCCGCGGUAAAACGUAGGUGACGAGCGUUAUCCGGAAUUACUGGGCGUAAAGCGCGUGCAGGCGGCUCAGCAAGUCGGGCAUGAAAUCUCCUAGCCUAACUGGGAGACGCUGUCCGAUACUGUUGGGCUUGAGGGCAGUAGAGGGUGGUGGAAUUCCGCAUGUAGUGGUGAAAUGCGUAGAUAUGCGGAGGAACACCAGUGGCGAAAGCGGCCACCUGGACUGCACCUGACGCUGAGGCGCGAAAGCUAGGGGAGCAAACGGGCUUAGAUACCCCGGUAGUC
rnacentral:rRNA from 1 species